AUUGAACGCUGGCGGCAUGCUUUACACAUGCAAGUCGAACGGUAACAGCAGAGCUUGCUCUGGCUGACGAGUGGCGGACGGGUGAGUAAUAUAUCGGAACGUAUCCAAUAAUGGGGGACAACUAGUCGAAAGAUUAGCUAAUACCGCAUACGCCCUGAGGGGGAAAGCUGGGGAUCUUCGGACCUGGCGUUAAUGGAGCGGCCGAUACCUGAUUAGCUAGUUGGUAGGGUAAAGGCCUACCAAGGCAACGAUCAGUAGCUGGUCUGAGAGGACGACCAGCCACACUGGGACUGAGACACGGCCCAGACUCCUACGGGAGGCAGCAGUGGGGAAUUUUGGACAAUGGGGGCAACCCUGAUCCAGCCAUGCCGCGUGAGUGAAGAAGGCCUGAGGGUUGUAAAGCACUUUCAAUAGAGAGGAAGGGUAGUAUGUUAAUAGCGUAUUAAUUUGACGUUAACUUUAGAAGAAGCACCGGCUAACUCUGUGCCAGCAGCCGCGGUAAUACAGAGGGUGCAAGCGUUAAUCGGAAUUACUGGGCGUAAAGCGCGCGUAGGCGGUUAUUUAAGUCAGAUGUGAAAUCCCAGGGCUCAACCUUGGAACUGCAUCUGAUACUGGGUAACUAGAGUUUGGGAGAGGGAAGUAGAAUUUCAGGUGUAGCGGUGAAAUGCAUAGAGAUCUGAAGGAAUACCAGUGGCGAAGGCGACUUCCUGGCCUAAAACUGACGCUGAGGAGCGAAAGCGUGGGGAGCAAACGGGAUUAGAUACCCCGGUAGUCCACGCCGUAAACGAUGUCAACUAGUUGUUGGUCCCCUUGAGGGAUUAGUAACGCAGCUAACGCAUUAAGUUGACCGCCUGGGGAGUACGGUCGCAAGACUAAAACUCAAAGGAAUUGACGGGGGCCCGCACAAGCGGUGGAGCAUGUGGUUUAAUUCGAUACAACGCGAAGAACCUUACCAGCCCUUGACAUGCAGCGAACUUUCCAGAGAUGGAUUGGUGCCUUCGGGAACGCUAACACAGGUGCUGCAUGGCUGUCGUCAGCUCGUGUCGUGAGAUGUUGGGUUAAGUCCCGUAACGAGCGCAACCCUUGUCCUUAGUUGCCAGCACGUAAUGGUGGGAACUCUAGUGAGACUGCCGGUGUUAAAUCGGAGGAAGGUGGGGACGACGUCAAGUCAUCAUGGCCCUUAUGGGCUGGGCUACACACGUGCUACAAUGGCAAGUACAGAGGGUCGCAAACUCGCGAGAGUAAGCUAAUCCCACAAAGCUUGUCUUAGUCCGGAUUGGAGUCUGCAACUCGACUCCAUGAAGUCGGAAUCGCUAGUAAUCGUAGAUCAGAAUGCUACGGUGAAUACGUUCCCGGGCCUUGUACACACCGCCCGUCACACCAUGGGAGUGGGUUGCAAAAUAAGUGGGUAGCUUAACAAUGGGGAUGUCGCUCACCACUUUGUGGUUCAUGACUGGGGUG
rnacentral:rRNA from 1 species